UAAGAAAGAAAAUUGGUGACUUUACUGAGUGCUAUUGGUGGGCAUGAUGUGGGAGACACCAUCCGGAGGAUGAUGAGAAAGUUGGGAACUUACCAGCUCUGGUCCCAUUUUAACCUGAAGGGAAGGAAGAAGAAGCGGUCGUUUGAGGACAUUCCACUCAACAGCGUGAUACAUAAAGCAUGCAGGAAGAUCCACCCAAAAUGCAAGGGCCACACCAUUGAACAGCAAGUGGGUGAGACUUUUGAAGCAUGCCCCAAGCAAGAGGGGUGGAUACCUCUUUGAGGCCCGUGUUUCUGUGGGUGCAACAACCAAGGCAAGACGGCCUACUAGGAACAAUUACUCAUCAGAUUCGAUGACUCAU